rnacentral:piRNA from 1 species
UUGGGAAUAGAGGGAAAUAAGGAUGUUGGU